CUCCAACACUGGUUGAGACAGUGCAUGAGGAUUCAGGUUCUGAUGCAUGGGCGUGUAUAUGAAGGAAUGAGUUGGAUGCUGAUUGAUCUAUUGCUCAUUUAGCAGUGAACAGAGAAGACUUAAGAUGAGUGAUGGAAUGAUCACCGAUCAUUAGUAUGGGUAUCGGAUUAGUCGUUUGUGGACUUCUCAAAUUGGGAGCAAAGAUGUCUCUAAAGGAAAACAAUGCAGCAUCCUUGAGCUUUCGGCAAGGAGCUGUGUUGUUCGGGAGGAUCAGCUGUGGGAUGUUUAACUACCCCUAGUGGGAGUCCAUGGAACUGCUGCAUGAUGCUGCCACCACAAGGGAAGCUCGGGGUGGCUGUAGACACUAGUGAAAAAAAAGGCCUGCUUGAGCACUCAUAUUCUGUAAUUGUUAUGCUACAUGUUUACUUUUUAUCCCAAUACAUUUUCGGCAAGUUCAUACGUGCUGCAGCUUAUGAUUACAUUUUGCCACCCAGUGCUAGUUUUUCGUCUACUUACGAAUAAAUAUGUUGCGUCGUAACUUCGUAA